ACGUACACUCCUACGGGAGGCAGCAGUGGGGAAUAUUGCACAAUGGGCGCAAGCCUGAUGCAGCCAUGCCGCGUGUAUGAAGAAGGCCUUCGGGUUGUAAAGUACUUUCAGCGGGGAGGAAGGCGAUAAGGUUAAUAACCUUGUCGAUUGACGUUACCCGCAGAAGAAGCACCGGCUAACUCCGUGCCAGCAGCCGCGGUAAUACGGAGGGUGCAAGCGUUAAUCGGAAUUACUGGGCGUAAAGCGCACGCAGGCGGUCUGUCAAGUCGGAUGUGAAAUCCCCGGGCUCAACCUGGGAACUGCAUUCGAAACUGGCAGGCUAGAGUCUUGUAGAGGGGGGUAGAAUUCCAGGUGUAGCGGUGAAAUGCGUAGAGAUCUGGAGGAAUACCGGUGGCGAAGGCGGCCCCCUGGACAAAGACUGACGCUCAGGUGCGAAAGCGUGGGGAGCAAACAGGAUUAGAAACCCGUGUAGUCCCA
rnacentral:rRNA from 1 species